UUUUAUUUUCAAUUUUAACGAAAGAAGCAGGAUCCCCAAAACUUUUAGACCCGCCGGACGAAAAACACACUCCCCAAAUCGUCUCCGUCGGAGUCCGCCAUAUCGCUGCUUCCGAAUCCGCCGCUUUCUCCAAAUCGCCGCUGCACCAGAGUCGACGCUGCUGCUGACUCCAUUUCAACGCCCGCACCUGCCGCCGUCGCUCGGCGCCGCAGAAGCUGCUCCGGCGGCCUCGACCUCAUCCGAAGCAGCCCCGUUUUCCCCAUUAAAGAUUAGGGUAUGAGAGCGUGAGAUCAUGGAAGGAUCUAAGGGGAGAAAGAAAAAGAAACACAUAAGGGACGAAGAGGGAGAUCUCUGCAUGCAGAAUAUAUAUGUAUAUAUAUAUAUAUUUAAAAAUAUGUAAGCAAGGAAAGUCUUGAUUGUGGUUCAAUUUCUUGUAUUUUAUUUAAAUUGUAUAGCCCAUAAUUUAUUUUUCCGCAAGAUUGGAUUUUGUAUUA